rnacentral:lncRNA from 1 species
CGAGACAAGCAUGCAAGCAGGCAGGACUGAUCCAUUGGGGUCAAUUCGACUGUUUAAUGGGGAUUGGGAAGCAAGAUUGGUAGCUGUGCUCAGAGCCCAUCUCCCGAGCUGCUCUACCCGCGUGUGUCUUGUAAGGCUCAGCAUGGUAUUUUCAAAGUGACACCAUGCUGGAGGUAAGCAACAUUAAAUGUGGCGUGCUCCAUGGACUGUGUUGCUUCAUUUCCAGAGUAGGGAGCUGGGGGGUUCCCGUCAAGCAGUCAUGGCUAGAAGUACUCUGAGGUAUCCCUCAAAUGUGUUGUCCCAUGCUGUUUCACACGAGCACAGGCCCACAGUGUAACCCUUCCACAGGGCCAGAGGGCAACAGGCCAUGAGUCUUCUCAUGGGGUUCUAACUCUUCCUUCCUGGUGCUGUACCUUUCCCCAAUGCUUUGUCUUGUCCAGUGAAUGCCAGUGCUCAAGAAAAGCCCAUGUUAAGCCAGGGCGUGGGACUUUUUAGGGCGUCAUCUCUGCUUCUGGUUGGAAGCAAACUGAGAAGAAGUCAUGAAUAGGUAGCAUUGAGAAGGGGAGCGAGGCUAUGUGCCAAACAGAAGGAAAGGUUUCUUAGGCCAGGGAACAGGGUCAAUGAAUAACCUCCAGCAAAGUCUGCCCCUAAUGUCAGUCUGCCCAAGGCCACACCCUUCCCCCUGGUAGGCCUGCCCCAGGUUCUAAGCAAGUUUAGUGCUUGUGGGGUAGACUCUGUCAAGCAUUUCUUCCACCAGGCGCCCCCUCUGGUCCCUGCUCAUGAACAGCCAGGGCUUUGUCAGGCCGCCUGCAUUUUGAGUUCUUCACGCCCAACCCCUGCCUUUUUUCCACAGGUGUUCAUCCUAAUAAACAUCUUAACACUCAAA